rnacentral:rRNA from 1 species
GACGAACGCUGGCGGCGUGCUUAACACAUGCAAGUCGAGCGGUAAGGCCCUUUCGGGGGUACACGAGCGGCGAACGGGUGAGUAACACGUGGGUGACCUGCCCUUAGCUCUGGGAUAAGCCUGGGAAACCGGGUCUAAUACCGGAUAUGACUCCGCGGCGCAUGUUGUGGGGUGGAAAGCCUUGUGCGGCUGGAGAUGGGCCCGCGGCCUAUCAGCUUGUUGGUGGGGGUGAUGGCCUACCAAGGGCGACGACGGGUAGCCGGCCUGAGAGGGCGACCGGCCACACUGGGACUGAGACACGGCCCAGACUCCUACGGGAGGCAGCAGUGGGGAA